rnacentral:rRNA from 1 species
UACGAAGGGUGCAAACGUUGCUCGGAAUUAUUGGGCGUAAAGCGCGCGCAGGCGGCUUCUUAAGUCUGAUGUGAAAGCCCACGGCUCAACCGUGGAGGGUCAUUGGAAACUGGGGAGCUUGAGUGCAGAAGAGGAGAGUGGAAUUCCAUGUGUAGCGGUGAAAUGCGUAGAUAUAUGGAGGAACACCAGUGGCGAAGGCGGCUCUCUGGUCUGUAACUGACGCUGAGGCGCGAAAGCGUGGGGAGCAAACAGG